rnacentral:rRNA from 1 species
GAUGAACGCUGGCGGCGUGCCUAAUACAUGCAAGUCGAGCGAACGGACGAGAAGCUUGCUUCUCUGAUGUUAGCGGCGGACGGGUGAGUAACACGUGGAUAACCUACCUAUAAGACUGGGAUAACUUCGGGAAACCGGAGCUCAUACCGGAUAAUAUUUUGAACCGCAUGGUUCAAAAGUGAAAGACGGUCUUGCUGUCACUUAUAGAUGGAUCCGCGCUGCAUUAGCUAGUUGGUAAGGUAACGGCUUACCAAGGCAACGAUGCAUAGCCGACCUGAGAGAGUGGUAGGCCACAUUGGAACUGAGACACGGUCCAGACUCCUACGGGAGGCAGCAGUAGGGAAUCUUACGCAAUGGGGGGAAGCAUGACGGAGCAACGCCGCGUGAGAGGUGGAGGUGUUCGGAUCGGAAAAAUGUGUUAUUAGGGAAAAACAUAUGUGUAAAGAAAUGAGGACAAAGUGACGGUACCUAAAGAGGAAGCCACGGCUAACUACGUG